rnacentral:rRNA from 1 species
CAAUAGCGUAUAUUAAAGUUGUUGCGGUUAAAAGCUCGUAGUUGGAUUUCUGCCGAGGACGACCGGUCCGCCCUCUGGGUGAGCAUCUGGAUCGGCCUGGGCAUCUUCUUGGGGAACGUAGCUGCACUUGACUGUGUGGUGCGGUAUCCAGGACUUUACCUUGAGGAAAUUAGAGUGUUUCAAGCAGGCGCACGCCUUGAAUAUAUUAGCAUGGAAUAAUGAUCUAGGCGACCGAGUCUAUUUUGUUGGUUUCUAGACUCAGUCGAAUGGUUAAUAGGGACAGUUGGGGCGAUUCGUAUUAUGACGUCAGAGGUGGAAUUCUUGGAUUGUCAUACGACGAACUACUGCGAAAGCAUUUGCCAAGGAUGUUUUCAUUGAUCAAGAACGAAAGUAAGGGGAUCGAAGACGAUCAGAUACC